rnacentral:tRNA from 1 species
GCCUGGGUAGCUUAGUCAGUUAAGCAUCUGACUUUGGCUCAGGUCAUGAUCUCAUGGUUUGUGGGUUUGAGUCCUGCGUCGGGCU